rnacentral:rRNA from 1 species
UACGGGGGGGGCAAGCGUUGUUCGGAAUUACUGGGCGUAAAGGGCUUGUAGGUGGCCAACUAAGUCAGACGUGAAAUCCCUCGGCUUAACCGGGGAACUGCGUCCGAUACUGGAUGGCUUGAGUUCGGGAGAGGGAUGCGGAAUUCCAGGUGUAGCGGUGAAAUGCGUAGAUAUCUGGAGGAACACCGGUGGCGAAGGCGGCAUCCUGGACCAACACUGACGCUGAGUGAGCGAAAGCCAGGGGAGCAAACAGG